AGAGAGAAGGAGCUUGCUUCUUCGAUCGAGUGGCGAACGGGUGAGUAACGCGUGAGGAACCUGCCUCAAAGAGGGGGACAACAGUUGGAAACGACUGCUAAUACCGCAUAAGCGCACAGUACCGCAUGGUACAGUGUGAAAAACUCCGGUGGUAUGAGAUGGACCCGCGUCUGAUUAGCUAGUUGGUGAGGUAACGGCCCACCAAGGCGACGAUCAGUAGCCGGACUGAGAGGUUGAACGGCCACACUGGAACUGAGACACGGUCCAGACUCC
rnacentral:rRNA from 1 species